CUGACCUGCCGCCGCGGCUGCUCACCUGCUCCGGCAGUCCGGCGAUUCCACUAUUCCAGGCCGGCCGUUCUGCAACUCGGUGCCAGCCAGCCUGGCAGGCAACCCACCGGGCGGCGGCGUAGCGGUGCCCCUGCUCCUCCCGUCCCCAGCCGUGGCCAGGGUCUCCCGCGGAACCCCCGCUACUAGGGGCUGAAACCGCUCCUCUUUGCCCUUUUCGCGCCUGCGGAAUCGUGUUGGGCGUUGCCUUGCUAUGCUUCGGAGUCCUUGUCGCUAAAGUUGAAUCCUUUGCCUCAGGACGGGUCGAGGUGGAACGACGAGCUGGGAGGGAACAAACCUGAGCAUGCUAGUCACUGGAAUACUGGAUUAGUUUGUAGGAUCUUGUAAAUGCUGGUUUGUAAGAUUGGUUAGUGCUUGGUUGAAUAAUUCCAAGUCGAGUAAUUCCAAAUAUUGGGCAAAUGUUAUGGGGUUGUACAAUAGGAACACCCCGAAAGAUCGAAAACGGUCACUAGGACAAUUAAGGAAUCACUGGUCUCAGAUUAAUAAGAAGGUCGCCCACUUCUAUGAUUGCUGGUGCAAAGUUGAGGCAAAAUAUGAGAUAGCUGCAGGACAUCCGGCUCGUCCUGCAGGAGAUAGCUGAGCAAGCAACACUGUGGAAGAUGGCGGGGGCAAAGGCGUUGGGGGAGCUGCAGCGAGGAGUGUGUGGUUGUACCCUUUAUCAGCUGGCGCGAUUGUAACAAAAAACUAACCCAGGCCGUGGAUUUGGCAUUGUAAUUGAACCGUUCUUUCUUCCUAUUAAUACAACGACGCGCAGUUCUCCUGCGCGUUCGAGAAAAAAAAAAGUUGACGAAAAAUAUUCCAGUCUCCAGUCUGAGAAAAUGCAACUGAUGGACAAAACAUGGGCGAUGUAUAAUGAGGAAGCACGGGAGAUGUACCUUGAGGAAACAAAACAUCAUUUUGCCUUCAACCAUUUUUUGAAAGUUGUCUGGGACCAACCCAAGCGGAAAAGAUACAUCUCUUCUCUAUACUCCAAGAAAACUAAGUUGUCUGAAGAUGCCGAAGAUGCACCUGAAAUAAAAACAGGUGAACAGGGUAGCAUGCCUGUGAAGAAGAAACAUGAAGCUAAAGGUAAGGUGCCAGCUCUUUCAUCAGAGUUGCAAGAAGAUAUCCAGUGCUCAGCGGAUCCUCAAAACAUGACUGAGAAGAAUCACAAGGAGAUGAUAGAGGCAGAGCUUCAGUGCUUAGACCAAAAGCUUGAGCUGGAUAGAUCGAUUCAGCUGACAGUGAAGGACAAGGAAAUGGUAAUAUCUGAAAUGCAAACAGAUCUGUUGAUAGCUGGGACAUUAAGGGUCCAUAAGUUGCAGCAUGGAAGAGAUGGACUAAUGGCUGACAUUUCAAGGUUCUAUGAGUUUCAGCACGGGAGUGCAGUGAGGGAAGAUGUGCCUGAAAAUAAAACACAUCCACAAGGUCGCAAAACGGUAGAGCAUGCAGAGACAGUGAGAGGUGGUCUUCCUGAGCAAGAAACAUACCCACAAGGUUCCAAGAUGACAAAGUCCAAGCGGAAACGCAAAGGGGACGCAUCAACUCCUCCUUCGGAAGUUCAGGAAGACAUUAAACAUGCAGUGGAUCUGCAGACCAUGCUCAGAAGGACUGCGAGAAGAUGUCAGAGGUGCAGCUCCGCCUAUCGAAAGAGAAGCUUGAGAUAGCCAGGUUGAAGCAUCAAGAAGCGAAGGACAGGAAGGAAACGACAGUCUACGAGAAGUAUACGGAACUGUUGAUGGCCACCACCAAGAGGUUUGAUGAGUUACAGAAGGAAGAGCACCGAAAGGCAGUAAAGCGCAUGGGGGAGAUGCUAUUUGGUAAUGACGACAUGAAACUUCCUUCUGGGCUUCUGGUAACCUUAAGCACAUGCAGUGAAUGUCUGAAAUGUCAUAUCAGAACUUUGAAGCACUUGCACCUGGUUUCAUUAAGCAACUGUAGUGAAAUGUUAUCUUCCCUGACAUUGUGGCAUCAUGUAUGAAUAUUGUUUUUAGUCGGUGUGCACAA